GGGGAGUGGCAGACGGGUGAGUAACGCGUGGGAAUCUACCGUGCCCUGCGGAAUAGCUCCGGGAAACUGGAAUUAAUACCGCAUACGCCCUACGGGGGAAAGAUUUAUCGGGGUAUGAUGAGCCCGCGUUGGAUUAGCUAGUUGGUGGGGUAAAGGCCUACCAAGGCGACGAUCCAUAGCUGGUCUGAGAGGAUGAUCAGCCACAUUGGGACUGAGACACGGCCCAAACUCCUACGGGAGGCAGCAGUGGGGAAUAUUGGACAAUGGGCGCAAGCCUGAUCCAGCCAUGCCGCGUGAGUGAUGAAGGCCUUAGGGUUGUAAAGCUCUUUCACCGGAGAAGAUAAUGACGGUAUCCGGAGAAGAAGCCCCGGCUAACUUCGUGCCAGCAGCCGCGGUAAUACGAAGGGGGCUAGCGUUGUUCGGAAUUACUGGGCGUAAAGCGCACGUAGGCGGAUAUUUAAGUCAGGGGUGAAAUCCCAGAGCUCAACUCUGGAACUGCCUUUGAUACUGGGUAUCUUGAGUAUGGAAGAGGUAAGUGGAAUUCCGAGUGUAGAGGUGAAAUUCGUAGAUAUUCGGAGGAACACCAGUGGCGAAGGCGGCUUACUGGUCCAUUACUGACGCUGAGGUGCG
rnacentral:rRNA from 1 species